AGAGUUUGAUCCUGGCUCAGAUUGAACGCUGGCGGCAGGCCUAACACAGUCAAGUCGAGCGGAUGAAGGGAGCUUGCUCCUGGAUUCAGCGGCGGACGGGUGAGUAAUGCCUAGGAAUCUGCCUGGUAGUGGGGGACAACGUUUCGAAAGGAACGCUAAUACCGCAUACGUCCUACGGGAGAAAGCAGGGGACCUUCGGGCCUUGCGCUAUCAGAUGAGCCUAGGUCGGAUUAGCUAGUUGGUGAGGUAAUGGCUCACCAAGGCCAMGAUCCGUAACUGGUCUGAGAGGAUGAUCAGUCACACUGGAACUGAGACACGGUCCAGACUCCUACGGGAGGCAGCAGUGGGGAAUAUUGGACAAUGGGCGAAAGCCUGAUCCAGCCAUGCCGCGUGUGUGAAGAAGGUCUUCGGAUUGUAAAGCACUUUAAGUUGGGAGGAAGGGUUGUAGAUUAAUACUCUGCAAUUUUGACGUUACCGACAGAAUAAGCACCGGCUAACUCUGUGCCAGCAGCCGCGGUAAUAC
rnacentral:rRNA from 1 species